rnacentral:rRNA from 1 species
UACGUAGGUGGCUAGCGUUGUCCGGAUUUACUGGGCGUAAAGAGCGCGCAGGCGGUCGUUCAAGUCGAGUGUGAAAGCCCCCGGCUCAACUGGGGAGGGUCACUCGAUACUGAUCGACUCGAAGGCAGGAGAGGGAAGCGGAAUUCCCGGUGUAGUGGUGAAAUGCGUAGAUAUUGGGAAGAACACCGGUGGCGAAGGCGGCUCUCUGGACCGUAACUGACGCUGAGGCGCGAAAGCGUGGGGAGCAAACAGG